UACGUAGGGAGCAAGCGUUGUUCGGAUUUACUGGGCGUAAAGGGCGCGUAGGCGGCGCGGUAAGUCACUUGUGAAAUCUCUGAGCUUAACUCAGAACGGCCAAGUGAUACUGCAGUGCUAGAGUGCAGAAGGGGGCAAUCGGAAUUCUUGGUGUAGCGGUGAAAUGCGUAGAUAUCAAAGAGGGAAACACCCUGAGGUGAAGACGGGGUUUGCUAGG
rnacentral:rRNA from 1 species